rnacentral:rRNA from 1 species
AGGCCCAAGCUCAGGCGAUUACGGGUAGCCGGCCUGAGAGGGCGACCGGCCACACUGGGACUGAGACACGGCCCAGACUCCUGCGGGAGGCAGCAGUGGGGAAUAUUGCGCAAUGGGCGAAAGCCUGACGCAGCGACGCCGCGUGGGGGAUGACGGCCUUCGGGUUGUAAACCUCUUUUACCACUCACGCAGGCCCCGCGUUCUCGCGGGGUUGACGGUAGGUGGGGAAUAAGGACCGGCUAACUACGUGCCAGCAGCCGCGGUAAUACGUAGGGUCCGAGCGUUGUCCGGAAUUAUUGGGCGUAAAGAGCUCGUAGGCGGCGUGUCGCGUCUGCUGUGAAAGACCGGGGCUUAACCCCGGUUCUGCAGUGGAUACGGGCAUGCUAGAGGUAGGUAGGGGAGACUGGAAUUCCUGGUGUAGCGGUGAAAUGCGCAGAUAUCAGGAGGAACACCGGUGGCGAAGGCGGGUCUCUGGGCCUUACCUGACGCUGAGGAGCGAAAGCAUGGGGAGCGAACAGGAUUAGAUACCCUGGUAGUCCAUGCCGUAAACGUUGGGCGCUAGGUGUGGGGACUUUCCACGGUUUCCGCGCCGUAGCUAACGCAUUAAGCGCCCCGCCUGGGGGAGUACGGA